rnacentral:rRNA from 1 species
UACGUAGGGUGCGAGCGUUAAUCGGAAUUACUGGGCGUAAAGCGUGCGUAGGCGGUUCUCCAAGUCCGUUGUGAAAGCCCCGGGCUCAACCUGGGGAAUGGCAAUGGAUACUGGCGAGCUAGAGUGUGUCAGAGGAUGGUGGAAUUCCCGGGUGUAGCGGUGAAAUGCGUAGAGAUCGGGAGGAACAUCAGUGGCGAAGGCGGCCAUCUGGGACAACACUGACGCUGAGGCACGAAAGCGUGGGGAGCAAACAGG